AGCAAAUGGUGUCCAAAGAGAUCUCGUCGAUAGUGAUGAUGACAUAGUGGUUAUAUAGGAAAGGGAGCCGCUAGGGGUCAGACUACUGAUCCCUUGCUUCCAUCAGCCCAGUCCAAGGCCGUAGGAUUGGAAGCAUGUAGGUCGUCGGAUCUGCUAGUAGAAUUCUGCCUGUGGACUGUUGUUGGAUUGAUCCGUUAAUUAGGUGUGUCGUCAUAACUGGUCCCCCAAAAUUAGCUCGACCCUGUGUAUCCUCGCUAACUACCUCUCUCCUGCCGUUUAUUCCCCCUCGAGUAGAUUCCUAAUCUGCAGAUUUUUUCAUAAACGUGCGGCCCACACAUGCAACCUUCUAUGUUUUCUGUACGAUUACGUUUGCUUCCAAUUAAUUGCUUCCUUUAUAAGAUUCCACGACAUAUAUUUGCUUCCUUGGACUUGUUAAUUUGCUUCCUGCGUCUGAUUAAUAUGCUUCAACUACAACCGUUUUUUCUCGAUUGACCUGAAAUGCAUGUUCGAUCUAAUAGAAACUUAUGUCACACAGCAAGAAUUUGUUUAUAUUGACAAGAAAAUUUGCUUCUAUUGCAACUUAUAUUUGCUUCUAUGGACAACAAUUAAAUUUGCUUCCACUAAAACAUAAAUUAUACAUUGUUUCAAAGCAAACAAAAUUUUGCUUCCAAAGAAAGCAGAGUCUGCUUCGAUGCAACAUCGCCCUAAUACAACAAAACAACAGAAAAUAAUUAUAUUACAACAAAAAUAUGAUACAAGGCGGAUUGUCUCGGGCUGUAGUGACUGCGCUAGGGAAUGCAUAAGCAGAAGAUUGCCGAAAGGAAGUUGUUGCCUUCAUGAUGGCAGCAAGCAGUGGGACGCCGACACCAUCAAUUGCUCGUAACACGGUGAUAUCCUUCUUGGUUGCAUGGUGGUAGAAGAUAGAGCUCACGCAUUCAAGCAUGGGCGCAAAUGCAUCGCCAAGUCGAUGGACUACGUGACAAGGACAUCAUAAUGGAGGGCCUUGGUCACUGUCUCCCCCCAUGUCACCACUAUCUCCUCCAUUGCCUUCAAAUAGACACCGCCAAUAUUGUGGGGAGAGGUCCGUGCGAGGUGUUUGAGACACCAAUAAUGCAUGUGUGGCGUGUUGUAGCUCGAAACAUUUGAACAAAAGAAGCACACGUGAGAUGAGAGAUGGCUUGAUCUAUCACAACAUAAAUUAUAGGCAAUGGAGGCAUAGAAAAAUGAGAUAAGUAUGGCCUACAUGAAGCAACGAAUUGAUCGUAUGUCAGAACAUAAAUGAUAGUUUGUGGAAGCAUGGAAAAUUGAGAUGAAGAAAUACUCAUUGUUAUAGAAACAUAUGUGAAACAUAAAAGUAGGAAGCAUGACUUACACGUAGGCGUGAUUUGAUCAAUCAAAACAUACAUGAUAGGCCGUCAAAGCAUAUAAAAUUGAGAUAAAUAGAAAAUUCACUACUACAGGAACCGUAUGCGAAGCAUACAAGUAGGAAGCAUGGCUUACACGAAAGAGCGAUUUGAUUGAUCAAAACAUACAUGAUAUGCAGUGGAAGCACAGAAAUUUAGUACUAUAUGGAACAUAUGCGAAACAAAAAAUAUAGAAAGCAUGGCUUACACGAAGCAAUGAGUUGAUCUAUCACAACAUACAUGGGGCGGAGUUUUGAUUAAAAUGGUGUUGAAAAAUAAUAAAACAUUAGAAUCACACACAAAAGUAGAAACAAAGACUAUGUAAGAAAACUUUGUAUACCACAGAGACACGGUUAAUAUAAUAUGGGCAUGGCAUAUUACAACAUUCUAUGAAAGAUGAAGCAGAAAGUAUGGAAGCAUUCUAUGUAACCAAAGGAGCAUAUGGAGUAUAAUUUGGAAGCCCUGACAGCACGAAGCAUGAAAAUGUGUUAUCUUAACAUAACUAGUCUUAUUUUGAAGCAUAGAAAUUUGGAAAUAGAAAUUAAGUAAGAUUGCUACCAACAUGGGGAUGAAUGUUUGUGUCAACUAGAUACCAAAAAUGUUGAAGUAUGGAAGCAAACUAUCUAGACAGAAGAAGCAUAUGUAAAAUUAUUUGGAAGCUCCUUUAGUAGGAAGCAUGAAAAGCCUGUUAUCUCAACAUGACACAUCUUACUAGGAAGCUCCUUGAGUAAGAAGCAUGGAAAGAUUGAUCUAGGAACAGAAUUAGUAUUAGUUGGAAGCAUGGAAAACUGAACAUAAACUAGUACUGCCUCAACACGAGGAUGCAUAUUUGUGUGACAUGCAUACUAAAUUCAUGGGAUUUCGUUGAUGAUUAGUGAUCUAGUAGACAUUAGAUAGAAUAGACUGACACCCAAUAGAACAAACCAAAGAUAUGAACAUAGAUAACAAUCAAUACUCAGAACACAAAUCUCUACCAUUGCAGAAAUUAAAUGUAUCAAGUUGGAAUGACUCAAACCCUAGGUCAGAUGAGGAUGGUGCAGGGAGGCGACUCGUGCUAUCGUCCGCGCGUUCCCAACAUGAGACAUGCAGCAGGUAUGAGUGUGGCGGGGUUAGGAUCCUGGCAAAGAACAGAGGCUGACAUGUGGCAGGCGAGCUCGGCGGUGAGCCGGUGAGCAGGGUGCAACCCCGAACGCAGCCGAUUCUACUGAUGGGAAGCCCGGCGAAGCACGAAUCGAAGUUGAGGAUGGGGCUCGACCUCCUAAUGCCAGGAAGUAUGACGCACCUGCGAUGUCGCCCAGGAGUCGCAUUGGUGGAUAUGACGAUGGGGUAGCCAUACUGCUCGGCAACGAGGAGCGAAGAAGGAGCAGGGGGCGGAGCUGGCCGGUGAGGACACAGUGUUGCUGGGCGAAGAAGAGGAAAAGAGGCAGCUGCGUGCGAGGCGGACGGAGAAGGAGGUUGUGGAUUCCGGGUGAGGUGAGCGAGGAGCCCGGCACGUUGCGUGCGGUUGGGGACGAGGACGAUGGAGUCGGGAGGAUUAGGGAGAGAUAGGAUUACACGCGGGGAUUCGGGGUGAUUAGUCAGAUGGGAUUUUUUUCUAUUUUUUAUUUAGUACAUACGAAGCAAAAUCCUGAACCUUAGAUUCGAUUGAAUCGACGGCGUUUGAGUGGUC
rnacentral:lncRNA from 1 species